rnacentral:rRNA from 1 species
UAGGGAAUCUUCGGCAAUGGACGAAAGUCUGACCGAGCAACGCCGCGUGAGUGAAGAAGGUUUUCGGAUCGUAAAACUCUGUUGUUAGAGAAGAACAAGGACGUUAGUAACUGAACGUCCCCUGACGGUAUCUAACCAGAAAGCCACGGCUAACUACGUGCCAGCAGCCGCGGUAAUACGUAGGUGGCAAGCGUUGUCCGGAUUUAUUGGGCGUAAAGCGAGCGCAGGCGGUUUCUUAAGUCUGAUGUGAAAGCCCCCGGCUCAACCGGGGAGGGUCAUUGGAAACUGGGAGACUUGAGUGCAGAAGAGGAGAGUGGAAUUCCAUGUGUAGCGGUGAAAUGCGUAGAUAUAUGGAGGAACACCAAUGGCGAAGGCGGCUCUCUGGUCAGUAACUGACGCUGAGGAUCGAAAGCGUGGGGAGCAAACAGG